UAAGGAAUAUUGGUCAAUGGACGCAAGUCUGAACCAGCCAUGCCGCGUGGAGGAUGAAGGUCCUCUGGAUUGUAAACUUCUUUUAUUUGGGAAGAAAUGCAUCUUUUCUAAGGUGUUUGACGGUACCAGAUGAAUAAGCACCGGCUAACUCCGUGCCAGCAGCCGCGGUAAUACGGAGGGUGCAAGCGUUAUCCGGAUUCACUGGGUUUAAAGGGUGCGUAGGUGGGCAGUUAAGUCAGUGGUGAAAUCUCCGGGCUCAACCCGGAAACUGCCAUUGAUACUAUCUGUCUUGAAUAUCGUUGAGGUAAGCGGAAUAUGUCAUGUAGCGAUGAAAUGCUUAGAUAUGACAUAGAACACCAAUUGCGAAGGCAGCUUGCUAACCGAAUAUUGACACUGAGGCACGAAAGCGUGGGGAUCAAACAGGAUUAGAUACCCUGGUAGUCCACGCCCUAAAACGAUGGAUACUCGACAUACGCGAUAUACAGUGUGUGUCUGAGCGAAAGCAUUAAGUAUCCCACCUGGGAAGUACGACCGCAAGGUUGAAACUCAAAGGAAUUGACGGGGUCAUAGCUG
rnacentral:rRNA from 1 species